AUCAUCGUUURCNGCGUGGACUACCAGGNUAUCUAAUCCUGUUCGCUACCCACGCUUUCGUGCAUCAGCGUCAGUHACGGUCUGGAAAGCUGCCUUCGCAAUUNGUGUUCUGUGUUAUAUCUAUGCAUUUCACCGCUACAUAACACAUUCCGCCUUCCUCGUCCGCACUCAAGUCUCUCAGUUUCAAUGGCACGUUUAUGGUUGAGCCACAAAAUUUCACCACUGACUUAAGAAACCGCCUACGCACCCUUUAAACCCAAUGAAUCCGGAUAACGCUCGCAUCCUCCGUAUUACCGCGGCUGCUGGCACGGAGUUAGCCGAUGCUUAUUCCUAUAGUACAGGCAAACAACUACACGUAGCUGACAUUCUUCCUAUAGAAAAGUAGUUUACAACCCAUAGGGCCGUCUUCCUACACGCGACAUGGCUGGUUCAGGCUUUCGCCCAUUGACCAAUAUUCCUCACUGCUGCCUCCCGUAGGAGUCUGGUCCGUGUCUCAGUACCAGUGUGGGGGACUAUCCUCUCAGAACCCCUAUCCAUCGAUGCCUUGGUAAGCCGUUACCUUACCAACUAACUAAUGGAACGCAUGCC
rnacentral:rRNA from 1 species